GUUUCCAUACAAUAUUGUUCUUCUUAAAC
rnacentral:other from 1 species